rnacentral:tRNA from 1 species
ACCUAUAUAGCUUAUAAAUUAGAGUUUGACACUGAAGAUGUUAAGGAAGCAUUUUGUUUUUAGGUG